rnacentral:rRNA from 1 species
GACGCUGCAGAGUUUGAUCCUGGCUCAGAUUGAACGCUGGCGGCAGGCCUAACACAUGCAAGUCGAGCGGUAACACAAGGGAGCUUGCUCCUGAGGUGACGAGCGGCGGACGGGUGAGUAAUGCCUAGGUAUCUGCCCAGUCGAGGGGGAUAACAGUUGGAAACGACUGCUAAUACCGCAUACGCCCUACGGGGGAAAGGAGGGGACCUUCGGGCCUUUCGCGAUUGGAUGAACCUAGGUGGGAUUAGCUAGUAGGUGGGGUAAUGGCUCACCUAGGCAACGAUCCCUAGCUGGUCUGAGAGGAUGAUCAGCCACACUGGAACUGAGACACGGUCCAGACUCCUACGGGAGGCAGCAGUGGGGAAUAUUGCACAAUGGGCGAAAGCCUGAUGCAGCCAUGCCGCGUGUAUGAAGAAGGCCUUCGGGUUGUAAAGUACUUUCAGCGAGGAGGAAAGCUCAAUUGUUAAUAGCGAUUGGGUGUGACGUUACUCGCAGAAGAAGCACCGGCUAACUUCGUGCCAGCAGCCGCGGUAAUAC